rnacentral:rRNA from 1 species
CUACGGAGGGGGUUAGCGUUGUUCGGAAUUACUGGGCGUAAAGCGUACGUAGGCGGACUGGAAAGUUGGGGGUGAAAUCCCGGGGCUCAACCCCGGAACUGCCUCCAAAACUUCCAAUCUAGAGAUCGAGAGAGGUGAGUGGAAUUCCAAGUGUAGAGGUGAAAUUCGUAGAUAUUUGGAGGAACACCAGUGGCGAAGGCGGCUCACUGGCUCGAUACUGACGCUGAGGUACGAAAGCGUGGGGAGCAAACAGGAUUAGAAACCCAGUAGUCCC